GCAGUCGAACGAACUCUGGUAUUGAUUGGUGCUUGCAUCAUGAUUUACAUUUGAGUGAGUGGCGAACUGGUGAGUAACACGUGGGAAACCUGCCCAGAAGCGGGGGAUAACACCUGGAAACAGAUGCUAAUACCGCAUAACAACUUGGACCGCAUGGUCCGAGUUUGAAAGAUGGCUUCGGCUAUCACUUUUGGAUGGUCCCGCGGCGUAUUAGCUAGAUGGUGGGGUAACGGCUCACCAUGGCAAUGAUACGUAGCCGACCUGAGAGGGUAAUCGGCCACAUUGGGACUGAGACACGGCCCAAACUCCUACGGGAGGCAGCAGUAGGGAAUCUUCCACAAUGGACGAAAGUCUGAUGGAGCAACGCCGCGUGAGUGAAGAAGGGUUUCGGCUCGUAAAACUCUGUUGUUAAAGAAGAACAUAUCUGAGAGUAACUGUUCAGGUAUUGACGGUAUUUAACCAGAAAGCCACGGCUAACUACGUGCCAGCAGCCGCGGUAAUACGUAGGUGGCAAGCGUUGUCCGGAUUUAUUGGGCGUAAAGCGAGCGCAGGCGGUUUUUUAAGUCUGAUGUGAAAGCCUUCGGCUCAACCGAAGAAGUGCAUCGGAAACUGGGAAACUUGAGUGCAGAAGAGGACAGUGGAACUCCAUGUGUAGCGGUGAAAUGCGUAGAUAUAUGGAAGAACACCAGUGGCGAAGGCGGCUGUCUGGUCUGUAACUGACGCUGAGGCUCGAAAGUAUGGGUAGCAAACAGGAUUAGAUACCCUGGUAGUCCAUACCGUAAACGAUGAAUGCUAAGUGUUGGAGGGUUUCCGCCCUUCAGUGCUGCAGCUAACGCAUUAAGCAUUCCGCCUGGGGAGUACGGCCGCAAGGCUGAAACUCAAAGGAAUUGACGGGGGCCCGCACAAGCGGUGGAGCAUGUGGUUUAAUUCGAAGCUACGCGAAGAACCUUACCAGGUCUUGACAUACUAUGCAAAUCUAAGAGAUUAGACGUUCCCUUCGGGGACAUGGAUACAGGUGGUGCAUGGUUGUCGUCAGCUCGUGUCGUGAGAUGUUGGGUUAAGUCCCGCAACGAGCGCAACCCUUAUUAUCAGUUGCCAGCAUUAAGUUGGGCACUCUGGUGAGACUGCCGGUGACAAACCGGAGGAAGGUGGGGAUGACGUCAAAUCAUCAUGCCCCUUAUGACCUGGGCUACACACGUGCUACAAUGGAUGGUACAACGAGUUGCGAACUCGCGAGAGUAAGCUAAUCUCUUAAAGCCAUUCUCAGUUCGGAUUGUAGGCUGCAACUCGCCUACAUGAAGUCGGAAUCGCUAGUAAUCGCGGAUCAGCAUGCCGCGGUGAAUACGUUCCCGGGCCUUGUACACACCGCCCGUCACACCAUGAGAGUUUGUAACACCCAAAGUCGGUGGGGUAACCUUUUAGAACC
rnacentral:rRNA from 2 species